rnacentral:tRNA from 1 species
GUUUCUAUAGUUGAAUAACAACGAUGAUUUUUCAUGUCAUUAGUCAUAGUUAAAGUCUAUGUAGGAAUU